UUCUGGAGAUUGCUCCUUUGUGGAGUUUUGGUGGCAAGGCUCAAUAUUAUCCAUAUUGACUGAAGGCCUUGGAGUUGAGAUGUGAAUCAGGCUCAUUUCAUGAGUCCCACUGACCCAACCAUGGAACUGGCAGUGUGCAGAUGAAUUCCUGUUGAGGUUCUACUCCAUACAGAUGCAAAGAAAUCUAUGUGCAGCUUACAGAAACCCCUGAGGAUGCUCCCCCAGUAGUAGCAAGAGACCUUCAGCAUCUGCUCCCCAGCCUGAAAUCUCUCAUCAGACAUCAAGGAUGGUUCCUCUCUCUGCACUCCUGGAAGGUGUGUUAAAAGAGCUGAUCUUUCUGCUCCCAUUUCACGUGGUGGUUGGUAGCAGACACUUCGCAGUAACAGGGCCCCCUUCUCCAGGCUGUAGCAGUGGUUUUAGCAUCUCCAUCAUUUGGAUCUUGUGGAUGCUUGGUAAUAUCAAUCAUCUCACAUGAUGGUUUCCAAUUUCUUUGACUCAUUAUCAGCUGAAAAGCUGGGAAGUCUAAUAUUUCAAAUAACUCCCCAUGAUUUUUUUCACUUCCAACAAACCUGGCUUUAGCUGUUUGGCCCAGUCCCUCCCUCCCCAGUCAGGGAGGAAAUAGAAGUGCUGCAGAGACCGCAGACUUGCAGACCCUAUGGAUGAGCGGCAGCUUAUAAACACAGCCAAGAGUCCUUGCCAGAACCGAACCCGGGGGUUUUGUGGGGGCAGGAGCACUUCAAGGGGAAUGAAAGCAGAGAACUCUCGCAGCUUACGUGAAACGCAAAUACAACCCGAGCCUGGAUUUCAGCCUUUCUCCCAUGACACAGAAAUCUGCCUCCUCUCCCCAUCGUGGGGCCGUUUUCCGCGGUGGCCGUCGGGUUGACUGCGAGGCCAGCACCGCGCCACCACCUCCUCUCUCUGCGACUUCAUCACCAUCCUCCGUGAACAGAGCUCGGCCGGCCCGGCCCUGCCCUGAGCCCCCCACCCUGAGCCCCCCGCCCCGAGGUGCAGCCGCUCUUCCAGAACCACUGGCCGCGGACAGCGCCCGCCCGCUGCUCCCCCAGAGCCGCCUUGGCCCUGCGGUGCCGCCGCCCCCGCCCGCGGCGCCUUCAGCACCACCGAGCACGGACAGCGCCGGGCCAGGGGGCGCCCCGGCUGCCCCGGUCGGAUGUGCCCCCCCCCCCGAUACUCCCCUCGGAGCCCCUCUGGACCCCCGGGGUCCAGAGGAUUGGGGGUCGGUCCCCAGCCCCUUCCCGACCCCCA